UCAUCGCUUGUUUAACAUUUUCCAGGGAUUCACCGACACAUUAUCUUCAGCGGUAUGGGCAUAGCAGGAGGCAUCUCUGCCAAUAAAGCAAUGGCUGAUUCUUACGCAGAACGGGAUGCCAUAAUGAGUCAUUAUAUGAGUCUUCACCCCACAGACUUCGAGGAAGCAGAGCGAAGGAAAUAUGCUGACGUUCUUGAAGCAUGGGUUCCUUGCCGAUAAAACAGUGUCUAGUGUGCAGACGUGUGGAGAACAAUCAUUGCUUUUAGAGGCCUCAAGACAUGCUGACCAUUUAUACCAAUAGAUCGCUAUUACAUGGGCUACUGCCAUAGCAUGCAACAGUAAAUGUUACUCAUGUGCAAUAAAGACAUGAUUACUUUACACAGAACUUACUCUUGAUCAUGCCACGGCUAUAAAAAGAAAGGCAAAACAGCAGUAAGGUUCAGUGACUUGGGUCUAAGGAACCCAGUGGUUAGUUCUGAUAUCAUAGUUGGGAUCACUGGUUCAGGUCAAGGUUGAUAAAGUGUUUCCCAAGACGGAGACAGGUCCAUGAAUAGGAUCUCAAUUCGUUUGUAAUGUGCAGGGGAAGUCGGCAUUUUGAAACGAAAAUAUAUAUCCAUGAAUUGGCCACUCAAAAAUUGAAACUAGAGCUUGGAUUUUUGUAUUCCCCAAGUAUCCAUUAGUGAUGCCUGGACCUUUUAUAAAUAUAAAAUGUAAAAAUCUCUGAUAGUACAUGCACCAUGUGGAUAUGCGUCAAACUUGUGUUGUUAAUAAAUUUUAAAUUGGCACGUGUAUCGUUA